AUAAAAUCUUUACACAAUUAAAAUUAAAACUUUAUUUGAGAGAGCAAGAGAGCACAAGAAGGGGGAGCAGCAGAGGGAGAGGGAGAAGGGAGCCCGAUGUGAGGCAUGAUCCCAGGGUCCUGGGAUCGAGCCCCACAUCGGGCUCCCUGCUCAGCGGGAAGCCUGUUUCUCCCUCUCCCACUCCCCCUGCUUGUGUUCCCUCUCUUGCUGUGUCUCUCUCUGUCAAAUAAAUCUUUUUAAAAAAAAUUUUUUUUUCAUUUCUAGCUUACUUUAUUGUAAACAUACAGUAUAUAAUACAUAUAUGUUAGUCAACUGUUUAUGUUAUUUGGUAAGACUCUGGUCAAUAACAGGCUGUUAAGUUUUGGGGAAUCAGAAGUUCUACAUGGAUGUUUGUGUAGGGUAGUGGUACCCCAACCUCCAUGUUGUAUAUGGGUCAACUGUAUGUACAUAUUUUAUGAAAUUGCUUUUUAACUCAUUUAAGAAAAAUGAGAAAAAAUAUGCAUUUAUAGUUUUAAUGCUGUUCUCUGGUCUUGUGGUUUUGUGUUACUGUCUGACAUCACUUACUUUCUGUCUGAAGACCUUCCUAGAAUAUCUCUUUUAAGAUGAGUUGGCCUGGCAACAAAUUCUUUCAGUUUCUGUUUUACCUGGGAAAGUCCUUAUUUCACUUUCAUUUUUCUACAGAUACCUUUGCUGGAUAUCAGAGUCUUGGUUGAUGGGUUGGUUGGUUUGUUUGUUUGAGCACUUACUUUGAAUGUUUUCCCACUGCCUUCUGGCUUCCAUUGUUCCUGCUGAGAAGUCAGCCAUAGAUCUUACUGGGCUUCCUUGUAAGUGAUGCUUUGUUUUUCUCCAGCUUUUUCCAAGAUAUUUUCCUUAUAUUUGAUUUUCAGCCUUUUUACUCUGAUAUGCCUGUCUGUGGGUCUCUUCAUUGGGCUUCCUGGGUGUAUAGGUUUUUGUUUUUCAAUAAACUUGGAAUGUUUUUUGCCAUGUUCCAAAUACUGUCAUCUUUCUCUCCUGGUAUUCUCAGUUCAAGGGCUGCAAGGAUUAUAAAUUUGGUCAUCUGCUCUGAAUUAUUUAGUGGGCCCCCAGGCUGCUUUGCUUUUCAGGUUCCAAUGUUUGCUUUCUAUUUUCCUCUGUUUGCCUUUCACACUGUUAACUGCCACUACUUGCUUCUGUGAGCUUAUUUCCUCUGCUCUAACUUGAUAUUUCUCUGUUUCUACUCAGAUUAUCUAGGAAACCAGAUGUAACUGAACUACUUAAAGUAUGUCUAAAUUAAGAGCAACAUGGCUCUGCUUUUGAAGCCCUGGAAGACCAUGCUUUGAGCUACAGUCUGACAGCCACGACUGAGGCUACCCCACCCUAGAGAGAGAUAGCAAGAGCAGGAACACAAGCAGAGGGAGUGGGAGAGGGAGAAGCAGGCUUCCCACGGAGCAGGGAGCCCGAUGCGGGGCUCGAUCCCAGGACCCCGAGAUCAUGACCUGAGCCGAAGGCAGACGCUCAACGACUGAGCCACCCAGUGUGAAUGAGGAAUUGCAGAUACAUGAGAUGUGGUGAAGCAAAUGAGGAGGAAUGGGGCAUAAUGUGUGUCCCAAGAAGAGGAGACACCAUGUUUAAAAGCCAAGAAGUCAAUGAGAAUGUGGCGUGUUCAAGAAACCAACUGAAUCCCACGCAACACAGUGAUGAAAGGGAAGCUUUGACUUUAAGUCUGGGGAAUUGACAAAUGAUAACGUUGGGGCCAUAGGGGAGAGAGAGGCCUUAAGAUGUACUGUAUAUAAAAAAAAAAAAAAAAAAAAAAAAGAUGUACCGUAUAAAUCAUCAAAAUGUGAUGUACUAUACCUUCUCGGCAUAAACUGGAAAUUGGGGGAAAAAAAAAAAAAGUGCUGCAAAUAGAAUUGCUUCCUUUGGGCUUAAACCGGAUUGGCAGCAACACAGAUUCUGCUGUGGGUUGAAGUCAUUUUCUACUUUGGCACUACUCGGUCCAUGGGGAAUGGUGGAGUCGUGAUUUAGCAGCAAGAUUCUGGGAGCGGGCCAGCAACUACAUCUGUUCUGAACUGUAAGUGGACUGGAAGAAUGCUUAAAAAAAGCCAGAGGAGGGAGGUGAAAGAGAACACAAAACCUUUAACCUCAAAAAGGCCACAAAAAAAUGGCUUGAUCAAUUACAAGGAGAUUGGAUUUAGAGAGACAUUUUCAUGGAAAUAAAAUCUAUGCAACUCUCCUUUGUCUUCGUCCAUUAAGUCCCUCUGUCUUGUGAUACAAGAAUGAUAACACAUAAUGAUACAAGGAAAUCUUAUUAGGAAGGACUAAAGCAUCACUUACCUUACUUGGGAUGAGUCAACAAUUGAAGUCCGAUGCCUUGGUGACACCUCUUGGACAUUGAGUGCAUUUUUUAGUGAAUUGCAUAAUGGAUUUCUUUUCUCCAAAUGUGUGACUAUACCAUCUUGUAGGAUUUGGGUGGGGGGUUGUGUUGUAUUGUUUUGUUUGUUGUUGUUUGUUUUAUAUCAAGAGGUACUCCAUCAAUUGAAUGUCAUGAAGACCAUGAGUGGGCAAGAGUGUGGCUGAUGUACUGGAAAGAAUCUGGAAGCAGACUGGCCAGGGUUCAAAUUUCGACUCAAUCAUCUCCUGCCUAUGUGACUUCAGGCAAGUUGCUCUCUGGCGCUUAGCUUUUUUACCUUUAGAAUAGUAAUAUCUAAUUCACAGGGUUGUUGUGAUGAUUAGAGGAGUCCAUGGGCAUAUGGAAAGCAUGGGAUAAAUGUUCGUUUGCUUUCUCUCUAUUCUCUACUGAGUGCCCUUCUGUCUCAUUGCCUUGCACACAUUUGCAUAUCCAGAAUCUUGAUUUCCAGAGAAGGUAUUUGUCUCAUUGGAGUCAAUGAACCAAACCUGGUUUGUCUAAAGUUGAAAGUAUUUUUCCCAACUAGCAAAAAGUGGCUAGAAAAAUCGAGAGAAAACAGGCUGCAUGGCAUGUACACACAGAAAGGGAGAUUCUAAGUUUACUUGGAGCAAUCACAAUGGAUUUUGCAAAGAAGCUGGGACAAGGAUCAAGUGGGCUAUCUACCCAAAAUUCCAAAUUCUUUUUGGAAAGACUUUCUGAAAUGGCAGUCAGAUUUCAAGAAGAAGGAAAUGGAAGAUUCAAAAUAAUAGACAUCGUAGAAAUAAUUUCCACAUGACUUAGGAAAUUUUUGUUUGUUUCUCAGGAAAGCACAUUACAUUUUCUAAUUAAUUAUUGGCAUAUAUAAAGAAAUAAAAUAGCUCUUAGGGGUCCCAGGGCCCUACUCAACCUCUCUGAGUCACAGUUGCUUUAUGUAACAUGAAAGGAUUGAAAUGAAAUUGAUUCUAAGGUCCCUUUACAAAUUCUAAGAUUUUGUAAAAAACAAACAAAACCCCCCCCAAAACCUAAGAUUUUGUAUUUUGUUAAACUGAUAUUAAAAUUAUUUUUACACUUUCUAUAUUAACAACAAAUAAUAAUGAUUCACUGAGAACUUAGUUGGCAUGGCUCAGCUCAUUUACUCCUUAUAAUUACCCUAGGAAGCAGGUACUAUUAUUAUUAUUAUUUUACAAGUAAGGAAACUGAAGCCAAAUUUAAGUAAUUUUUCCAGUGUCAUCCUGUUAGCAAAAGAGGAGGUUCAGAUUUAACUAGAACUCUCUGUCUCAAGCUUUUAGCCCAAACCUACAUUGUUCCCCACAAUAUAGUAAACACAUUGUUUAUUAACAAUGGGCUCAGAAGCUUUAUUGGCAAUGGAAAAAAUUCAAUCUUGGUGAAAAACAUUCUCUUAAAUAAAUGGCAUAGUGAAUAAUUAUACAUAUUGGAACUGAGAAAUUUGUCAAUGCUUUGACUGUGAGUCCUGUGGGUAGGCCAUGUUUUUUUAUUGUUUUAUUUUUCACCUUGGCUCCGGCUUGCUAGGUACAAUAGUCACUGGAUGAAUUUGUAUUGAAUGAAAUGCAUUUUGUAUAACUUCAUUAUAAAUCAUUAUAAAGGUUUUGAAAGCUGGAAGCAACUUUAUAGCUCAUUUCAUCUAUCUAUCCCCUCCCCCUUCCAUCCCACUAUUUUCUAGAAGGAACUAAA